CAGUCGCCACGGGAAUACGAAGGGUGCAAGCGUUAAUCGGAAUUACUGGGCGUAAAGCGUGCGUAGGCGGUGAGUUAAGUCUGCUGUGAAAUCCCCGGGCUCAACCUGGGAAUGGCAGUGGAUACUGGCUCGCUAGAGUGUGUCAGAGGAUGGUGGAAUUCCCGGUGUAGCGGUGAAAUGCGUAGAGAUCGGGAGGAAUACCGGUGGCGAAGGCGGCCCCCUGGACAAAGACUGACGCUCAGGUGCGAAAGCGUGGGGAGCAAACAGGAUUAGAUACCCCUGUAGUCCCUGUCUCUUAUAC
rnacentral:rRNA from 1 species